rnacentral:rRNA from 1 species
AGAGUUUGAUCCUGGCUCAGAACGAACGCUGGCGGCAGGCUUAACACAUGCAAGUCGAACGCAUCCUUCGGGGUGAGUGGCAGACGGGUGAGUAACGCGUGGGAACGUGCCCUUCAGUUCGGAAUAACCCAGGGAAACUUGGGCUAAUACCGGAUACGUGCGAGAGCAGAAAGAUUUAUCGCUGAAGGAUCGGCCCGCGUCUGAUUAGCUAGUUGGUGAGGUAAUGGCUCACCAAGGCGACGAUCAGUAGCUGGUCUGAGAGGAUGAUCAGCCACAUUGGGACUGAGACACGGCCCAAACUCCUACGGGAGGCAGCAGUGGGGAAUAUUGGACAAUGGGCGCAAGCCUGAUCCAGCCAUGCCGCGUGAGUGAUGAAGGCCUUAGGGUUGUAAAGCUCUUUCGUCCGGGACGAUAAUGACGGUACCGGAAGAAGAAGCCCCGGCUAACUUCGUGCCAGCAGCCGCGGUAAUACGAAGGGGGCUAGCGUUGUUCGGAAUCACUGGGCGUAAAGGGCGCGUAGGCGGCUUGAUAAGUCGGGGGUGAAAGCCUGUGGCUCAACCACAGAAUUGCCUUCGAUACUGUCUGGCUUGAGACCGGAAGAGGUAAGUGGAACUGCGAGUGUAGAGGUGAAAUUCGUAGAUAUUCGCAAGAACACCAGUGGCGAAGGCGGCUUACUGGUCCGGUUCUGAGCUGANNNNCGAAAGCGUGGGGAGCAAACAGGAUUAGAUACCCUAGUAGUCC